rnacentral:rRNA from 1 species
UACGAAGGGGGCUAGCGUUGUUCGGAUUUACUGGGCGUAAAGCGCACGUAGGCGGAUCGAUCAGUCAGGGGUGAAAUCCCAGAGCUCAACUCUGGAACUGCCUUUGAUACUGUCGAUCUGGAGUAUGGAAGAGGUGAGUGGAAUUCCGAGUGUAGAGGUGAAAUUCGUAGAUAUUCGGAGGGACACCAGUGGCGAAGGCGCUCACUGGUCCAUUACUGACGCUGAGGUGCGAAAGCGUGGGGAGCAAACAGG